AUCCUUUUGUGGUUCAUAAGCGUGAUGAUUGGGUGUUCACACCUGUGCGUGACAUAUGCCUCCCUCCUGUUACGACGCCUGUACCCAUCUGACG
rnacentral:snoRNA from 1 species